UUACGCUGUUAUCCCUAAGGUAAUUUAGUCUGAUAAUCACUAAAAAUGGAUCAAAAAUUUAUAAACAAAUAUAAAAAAAUAAAAAGAGUUAUAUUAAUCUUCCCAUCACCCCAACAAAAUUUACAUAAUACUAAACAUAUUAACCCACAAAAAAUAUGAAAUUAAAUUAAACUCUAUAGGGUCUUCUCGUCCCAAAAAAAUAUUCAGGCAUUUUAACCUAAUAUUUAAAUUCAACAAAAUAAAAAUUUAAGAAAGUAAACACCUCGUCAAACCAUUCAUCCCAGCAUUCAAUUAAAAAACUAAUGAUUAUGCUACCUUUGCACAGUCAAAAUACUGCGGCCAUUUAAAAAUCAGUGGGCAGGUAAUACAUCAAAAUAUAUACAAGAAGAGAUGUUUUUGUUAAACAGGCG
rnacentral:rRNA from 1 species